rnacentral:misc_RNA from 1 species
GUGAAUCAUCGAAUCUUUGAACGCAUAUUGCGCUCUCUGGUAUUCCGGAGAGCAUGCUUGUUUGAGUAUCAGUAAACCCCCUCAAAUCUUUUUUUUUGUAAAAGAAAAAAAAUGAUUUGGAUUUGAGCGAUCCUAACGUAUUUUUUUAAAAGUAUGGCAGGUCUCUUGAAAUAAAGGUGCAGCUGAACUUUCUUCUGAGCUAAAAGCAUAUUUUAUUUAGUCCUGCUUUGCGGCUGGAUUAUUACUUUUGCUGCAGCUAACAUAAAGGUUGAUUGUUCUUAUGCUGACUGAUAUAGGAAA